GACGAACGCUGGCGGCGUGCUUAACACAUGCAAGUCGAACGGAAAGACCCUGCUCUUGUGGGUUGCACGAGUGGCGAGCGGGGGAGUAACACACGAGUAAACUGCCCUUAACAUUGGGGUAACUUCAGGAAACUGGGGCGAAUACCGGGUAGAAGCUCCUGCUGCACGGUGGGGGUUGGAAAGUUUCGGCGGUUGGGGAUGUACUCGCGGCUUAUCCGCUUGAUUGUGGGGUAGUGGCUUACCAGGCCUUCGAAGGGUAGCCGGCCUGAGAGGUUGACCGGCCACAUGGGGCCUGAGAGACGGCGCAGACUGCUACGGGAGGCAGUAGGGGGGAAUCUUGCAGAAUGGGGGGAAGCGUGAGGUAGCAACGCCGCGUGCGGGAUGAUGGCCUUCGGGUUGUAAACAGAUUUCGCAUGUGAUGAAGCGUGCGUGACGGUAAUGGGUAAAGAAGCAACGGCUAACUACGUG
rnacentral:rRNA from 1 species